rnacentral:tRNA from 1 species
AGACAACAAAAUGUUAAAUAUUAAUUUUGUCACCUUAGGUCGAUCGGUAUCUCACGUUCUUUACUAUUUUCUAGAUAAAGAAUUUCAAUUUCUAAGUUUUUCUAGGUCACACCCAUACUUUCCCUGGGCCAUUAGCUCAGGUGGUUAGAGCGCACCCCUGAUAAGGGUGAGGUCCCUGGUUCAAGUCCAGGAUGGCCCAUAUCUCUAUGUUGGGGGUAUAGCUCAGUUGGUAGAGCGCCUGCUUUGCAAGCAGGAUGUCAGCGGUUCGAGUCCGCUUACCUCCACUGAUUACCACCUCUUCCAUAUAGCUGAAGGGAAUAGUUUGAAGUGUAAUCUAAUUCUGAACGAAUCUAGCUUCCUAAUUUUUUUUAAGAUGCUGGACUCAUUGAAUUUAUUCAUUGUUUUCAGAGAACCUUGACAACUGCAUAGAUUAUUUUUUAAAGACAAUAAGCAUCUAAUAUGAUGCAGAUUUAUUAUUUGUGCGAAAGCAUUAAUAACAAUUCUAUUGAGCUGAUGCUUCAAAUUUUGAAGUUAUU